rnacentral:misc_RNA from 1 species
AACAUACCUAAACGUUGCUUCGGCGGGAACAGACGGCCCCGUAACACGGGCCGCCCCCGCCAGAGGACCCCCUAACUCUGUUUCUAUAAAUGUUUUUUCUGAGUAAACAAGCAAAUAAAUUAAAACUUUCAACAACGGAUCUCUUGGCUCUGGCAUCGAUGAAGAACGCAGCGAAAUGCGAUAAGUAAUGUGAAUUGCAGAAUUCAGUGAAUCAUCGAAUCUUUGAACGCACAUUGCGCCCGCCAGUAUUCUGGCGGGCAUGCCUGUUCGAGCGUCAUUACAACCCUCAGGCCCCCGGGCCUGGCGUUGGGGAUCGGCGGAGCCCCCCGUGGGCACACGCCGUCCCCCAAAUACAGUGGCGGUCCCGCCGCAGCUUCCAUUGCGUAGUAGCUAACACCUCGCAACUGGAGAGCGGCGCGGCCAUGCCGUAAAACACCCAACUUCUGAA